rnacentral:sRNA from 1 species
CCACUGUGACCAUGACAGGAAAUGGGACUCGGCCCCCCCCAACUCCCAAUGCAGAGGCACCUCCCCCUGGUCCUGGGCAGGCCUCAUCCGUGGCUCCGUCUUCUACCAAUGUCGAGUCCUCAGCUGAGGGGGCUCCCCCGCCAGGUCCAGCUCCCCCGCCAGCUACCAGCCACCCGAGGGUCAUCCGGAUUUCCCACCAGAGUGUGGAACCCGUGGUUAUGAUGCACAUGAACAUUCAAGAUUCUGGCACACAGCCUGGUGGUGUUCCGAGUGCUCCCACUGGCCCCCUGGGACCCCCUGGUCAUGGCCAAACCCUGGGUAAGAGUGAGGGCAUCAGGGCAGGCUGAGC